UUGAACGCUGGCGGCAUGCUUUACACAUGCAAGUCGAACGGUAACAGGCCGCAAGGUGCUGACGAGUGGCGAACGGGUGAGUAAUGCAUCGGAACGUGCCCAGUCGUGGGGGAUAACUACUCGAAAGAGUAGCUAAUACCGCAUACGAUCUAUGGAUGAAAGCGGGGGACCGUAAGGCCUCGCGCGGUUGGAGCGGCCGAUGUCAGAUUAGGUAGUUGGUGGGGUAAAGGCUCACCAAGCCAACGAUCUGUAGCUGGUCUGAGAGGACGACCAGCCACACUGGGACUGAGACACGGCCCAGACUCCUACGGGAGGCAGCAGUGGGGAAUUUUGGACAAUGGGCGCAAGCCUGAUCCAGCAAUGCCGCGUGCAGGAAGAAGGCCUUCGGGUUGUAAACUGCUUUUGUACGGAACGAAACGGCUCUGGUUAAUACCCGGGGCUAAUGACGGUACCGUAAGAAUAAGCACCGGCUAACUACGUG
rnacentral:rRNA from 1 species